rnacentral:rRNA from 1 species
CCUUCGGGAAACGAGUAAACUGGCGCACGGGUGAGUAACGCGUAGGUUAUCUGCCCCUUUCUCAAGCAUAACUUCGUGAAAACGGAGCUAAUACUUGAUGAGGCCUCCGGGUCAAAGAUUACGGAAAGGGAUGAGCCUGCGUCUGAUUAGAUAGUUGGUGGGGUAAUGGCCUACCAAGUCAACGAUCAGUAGCUGGUCUGAGAGGACGAUCAGCCACACUGGAACUGAGACACGGUCCAGACUCCUACGGGAGGCAGCAGUAAGGAAUUUUGGUCAAUGGGGGAAACCCUGAACCAGCGACGCCGUGUGUGGGAUGAAGGGGCUACGCUCUGUAAACCACUGUCAGAUAGGAAAAAAAGUACCCUCGGGGUACCGGGAUUGUACUAUCAGAGGAAGGACCGGCUAACUACGUGCCAGCAGCCGCGGUAAUACGUAGGGUCCAAGCGUUGUCCGGAUUUACUGGGUAUAAAGGGUCCGCAGGCGGGCCUGUGCGCCGAAUGUUAAAGCCCACGGCUCAACCGUGGAACAGCACUCGAUACGGCAGGUCUUGAAUAUGAGAGAGGUAGGUGGAAUUCCUGGUGUAGCGGUGAAAUGCGUAGAUAUCAGGAGGAACACCAGUGGCGAAGGCGGCCUACUGGCUCAUUAUUGACGCUCAGGGACGAAAGCGUGGGGAGCGAACAGGAUUAGAUACCCUGGUAGUCCACGCCCUAAACGAUGUAUGCUUGGUGUUCGCUUGCGAGUGCCGGAGGAAAUCCGUUAAGCAUACCACCUGGGAAGUACGAUCGCAAGGUUGAAACUCAAAGGAAUUGACGGGGGCCCGCACAAGCGGUGGAUUAUGUGGUUUAAUUCGAUGCAAC